UACGGGAGGCAGCAGUAGGGAAUUUUCGGCAAUGGGCGAAAGCCUGACCGAGCAACGCCGCGUGAGUGAUGACGGCCUUCGGGUUGUAAAGCUCUGUUGUAAGGGAAGAACGGUAUGGAGAGAAUCUGUAAGUGACGGUACCUUACCAGAAAGCCACGGCUAACUACGUGCCAGCAGCCGCGGUAAU
rnacentral:rRNA from 1 species